UACGGAGGGUGCUAGCGUUGUUCGGAAUUACUGGGCGUAAAGCGCGUGUAGGCGGCCCGCUAAGUCUGAUGUGAAAGCCCGGGGCUCACCCCCGGAAGUGCAUUGGAGACUGGCGGGCUCGAGUCCCGGAGAGGAGGGUGGAAUUCCUGGUGUAGCGGUGAAAUGCGUAGAUAUCAGGAGGAACACCGGUGGCGAAGGCGGGUCUCUGGACAGUUCCUGACGCUGAGGCACGAAGGCCAGGGGAGCAAACGGG
rnacentral:rRNA from 1 species